rnacentral:rRNA from 1 species
CGUAGGGUGCGAGCGUUGUCCGGAAUUAUUGGGCGUAAAGAGCUCGUAGGCGGUCUGUCGCGUCGGUCGUGAAAACUUGGGGCUUAACCCUGAGCUUGCGGUCGAUACGGGCAUGACUGGAGUUCGGCAGGGGAGACUGGAAUUCCUGGUGUAGCGGUGAAAUGCGCAGAUAUCAGGAGGAACACCGGUGGCGAAGGCGGGUCUCUGGGCCGAUACUGACGCUGAGGAGCGAAAGCGUGGGGAGCGAACAGGAUUAGAUACCCUGGUAGUCCACGCCGUAAACGGUGGGCGCUAGGUGUGGGGGCCAUUCCACGGUCUCUGUGCCGCAGCUAACGCAUUAAGCGCCCCGCCUGGGGAGUACGGCCGCAAGGCUA